GACGAACGCUGGCGGCGUGCUUAACACAUGCAAGUCGAACGGAAAGGCCCUGCUUUUGUGGGGUGCUCGAGUGGCGAACGGGUGAGUAACACGUGAGUAACCUGCCCUUGACGUUGGGAUAACUUCAGGAAACUGGGGCUAAUACCGGAUAGGAGCUCCUGCUGCAUGGGGGGGGUUGGAAAGUUUCGGCGGUUGGGGAUGGACGCGCGGCUUAUCAGCUUGUUGGUGGGGUAGUGGCUUACCAAGGCUUUGACGGGUAGCCGGCCUGGGAGGGUGACCGGCCACAUUGGGACUGAGAUACGGCCCAGACUCCUACGGGAGGCAGCAGUGGGGAAUAUUGCACAAUGGGCGGAAGCCUGAUGCAGCAACGCCGCGUGCGGGAUGACGGCCUUCGGGUUGUAAACCGCUUUCGCCUGUGACGAAGCGUGAGUGACGGUAAUGGGUAAAGAAGCACCGGCUAACUACGUG
rnacentral:rRNA from 1 species